CAUCUUGGGGCGACGGCCAGAAGUCCAGGGCUAGGAGCCUCAGCCGGCGGACGCCAGGAAACAGCCAAGAACUGAACCAAAAUACAAACAACAUAAACUACCACUUGAUGAGAAGAACUUCAAAGUCAAAUUGCAAAAGGUGACUAAAAAAGGGGAGUACUUUCAGCCGUUUUCAAAAUAAUCUAUGAUAUGUACUGGAAAACUUCUAAUAAUCCUUGUCAUUUUACAAGAAAGUAUUUUAUCAGAAGAAUUCGUAGAAGUAGAAUCUGUUUGUCUUCAGUUAAACAAAAGAAGAACCUCAUUGCUUUCCAACUGGGCCCCGGCCAUUUUCCAGUUGAAACAUCAAAUAUUUUAUUUGUGUCUUUCACUGCCAAUUAAAGGGCAACAGAAAUGGUACAGGCUCCCUCUGCAGUGGAAUUACCCUUAUGUCUUUUCUGUCUAUGCUGAUCCACCUGAUCUUGAACUGGUGCUAUUCCAUGGGGAAAAUUGGAACAUGGGGCAAUUAACACUUUCUCCACUUUAUCCCAUCAACAGGAAAUUGAAAUAUAACCAACUAACUCAGGAGACAUCAUGGAAGAUGUCACACAGUGAAUGAUGAUGAAGCAGAAUUUUUAAAAUGUGUAGGAUUACGAGAAGUGGGGUCAUUUUUCUUUGUGUAUGGUAUUGCUGAUGCAGUUUAAUGCUCCAUUACUUCUAAAUUUUCAUCAUAAGCUAGAUUUUCCAGUUGUGGUUUCUAUAAAGAAAAACAAACAUUCUGAAGACAGUUUUUCCAGAUUUAUUCCAGAUAUCGAUGAUUAACUUUUGAAGCUCCUCUGUUGAUUUGAACAUCCGCUGAAGCUUAUUUUUCACCUCAGAAUAGCAUCAACAUUAUUUGAAAUUCAAUUGUACUUUCUCGUUACAUUAAUAAAUCAUGGAAGUUG
rnacentral:lncRNA from 10 species